rnacentral:rRNA from 1 species
UACAGAGGGUGCGAGCGUUAAUCGGAUUUACUGGGCGUAAAGCGUGCGUAGGCGGCUUUUUAAGUCGGAUGUGAAAUCCCCGAGCUUAACUUGGGAAUUGCGUUCGAUACUGGGAAGCUAGAGUAUGGGAGAGGAUGGUAGAAUUCCAGGUGUAGCGGUGAAAUGCGUAGAGAUCUGGAGGAAUACCGAUGGCGAAGGCAGCCAUCUGGCCUAAUACUGACGCUGAGGUACGAAAGCAUGGGGAGCAAACAGGAUUAGAUACCCUGGUAGUCCAUGCCGUAAACGAUGUCUACUAGCCGUUGGGGCCUUUGAGGCUUUAGCGGCGCAGCUAACGCGAUAAGUAGACCGCCUGGGGAGUACGGUCGCAAGACUAAAACUCAAAUGAAUUGACGGGGGCCCGCACAAGCGGUGGAGCAUGUGGUUUAAUUCGAUGCAACGCGAAGAACCUUACCUGGCCUUGACAUACUAGAAACUUUCCAGAGAUGGAUUGGUGCCUUCGGGAAUCUAGAUACAGGUGCUGCAUGGCUGUCGUCAGCUCGUGUCGUGAGGUGUUGGGUUAAGUCCCGCAACGAGCGCAACCCUUUUCCUUACUUGCCAGCAUUUCGGAUGGGAACUUUAAGGAUACUGCCAGUGACAAACUGGAGGAAGGCGGGGACGACGUCAAGUCAUCAUGGCCCUUACGGCCAGGGCUACACACGUGCUACAAUGGUCGGUACAAAGGGUUGCUACACAGCGAUGUGAUGCUAAUCUCAAAAAGCCGAUCGUAGUCCGGAUUGGAGUCUGCAACUCGACUCCAUGAAGUCGGAAUCGCUAGUAAUCGCGGAUCAGAAUGUCGCGGUGAAUACGUUCCCGGGUCU